UUAUCUAAAUUACCUUUUCUGUAUAAGAUGACUUUCAUUUAUUAAUGGUUAUCUGUUUCAUAAUAAUAUUGUUUUAUGUUCCUUCCUCACCCUUAAAAACCAUGUUAAAUUAAUGUUCAUGCAGUCCUUAGGAUGUGUUUUGGCCUGUUUUAAAAUAUAUGGAUUAGAUACUACUAUAUAAAAUUAAUAAGAUAAAAUAAAUAUUCGAACAUCCGCAAGGUUUUAGGAAGAGGUAAGAACCUGUCACUGUAACAGGCCGUGGAGGCCUAUAUUUUGUAGACAGUUGGCUCACAGAUGGCAGUGAGGUUGUCAACCUUAAGCACCAGUCACCCUUCACCACCAGGAAGAUUCUUGGAGUCUGGCUUGGCCCCAAAGCCGAUCUGGAUGCUUUGUAGUAUAGAAAAAUUUUGCCCCUGUCAGGAAUCAAACCCUGGUCAUGGAGCCUGUAGCAUGUAACCUGUCACUAUGUAGACUGAGCUGGCCCAGCUCUCUAUAUUGUAUGCGUACAACAAACUAUUAUUUACUACCUAUAUCAUCACAUUUGUUGAAACUAUGUGAUAAUGAUUGGCCUGAUCACACUGCACUUUACGUGAUGAAAAUAAUACAAUAUUGAACACUAUGAUCAAGGCUUCAAUUGAUGUAUCCUGUGAACACCACCUAUUUAAGUGCUGCUUCUUGUCAGAGUCAGAAGUUAGAAUAAAAAUCCACAAAUGAAUAUUUAGAUGAUGAAAGACAUAAUAAACUUGGCAUGUUCAGAAAGUUUCUCUUGAUUACUUUCAAAUGUAUGUACAAAAAUAUAGUGGAAUAUUUUCAUUAAAACUUAGGUCUGCAUUGUCUCCAGGAUGAAUUUAUUAUGAAAAUGUUGCUUAUUCAAUACUGUAUUGUUCACAUACAACCACUUGGUAUUCCAGAGAGCUGCUAUGAACAUUUCAGCCUACCACAUAAUAGGGGUAGAGGUUGGUGGCCACUGAUGUCUUUGCUUAGGAGAGCUAAAAACUGAGGGCCAGUAAGUGAUAAACUGUGUUGACAUGGAUGUGAAUCAUGAUCAUUAAAAACGUCUUUGGUAAUUGUAACAAUUGGAAUAGUUGCAGUGGUGUCCUUUCUCCCACUUUUAAAAUUUAUCCCUCUUACAUACGACAAAAUUACACAUAUGACUUCAUUCCUCCAAAUUCAGAAUAAUUACAACAUUUAUAAACUGAAAUUUACAGGACAAAGGGAACGUAAAUGAGAGAAGGUGAAGUGUUUAGAGGUGGUUAGCAAUGUUACAAGUCAAGUACUGGAACAUCAUUGGAUGUAUGCAUCACUUUCUUUUCUUUAAAUGAAGUGCAGGAUUAGAAAGUGCUGGAGUCUGUGGGCAGUCCAUAAAGUGAGAAUUUAGCUAGACUGACUCGCCAAGUUGGAAUAACUAAGGGGACCCUUUUUGUAGUGAAGAAGACUGAUACUUUUACAUACAUGAAAUAAUGCUUCCUUUGGAGAAUACAAUAUUUUAUUUAAAACCUUGCAUAUGACAGUUAUUUAAAUCAUACUAAUAUUUAAGCAGACCCUACAAUUUUCUUCUUUGUAGGUCUGUAAUUUCAGAGUGAAUAAACAGAAGUAAUAUUUAUUUUGUCAGGAGUUCUUUAAAACAUAUUAGGUUGAAUACAUAAAUAAAAAUGAAAGUUUCUUUAUUGAGAUUUGUAUGGAUUUGUGCAUGAGAACAGUUUUAGGCAGGCUAUAUAAUUUAUGAAUAAGGAAAAUUAAGGCAUGAAUAAGUCAACUUGUAUUACAUAUCCAGCAUAUUUAAGUUACCCUGGAUUUUUGAUAUAACAUGGCUGAAUCAUGGUUAAAUUACCCUGCAUUCCACAUACAGAAGCAGAAGUCACUGAACACCAAUCUACUAUACUGCAGGCCAGAAGUAUCAUAAGAUGGAGGGUGUGUGACAUAUUUGGCCAAGAAAUUUCAAUUAAAAUUGUGUUGUUUUCAUUGUAAGUGCAUCCUAACAGCCAAAAUUUAAUAAUAUAAAAAUGUCUUAAUCUAAUAGUAAUUCAAGUUAACUUGUCAUGUUUUAAGUGAUUUCUAUAAUUCUGUGGUAUAUCAGUCUUUAAUGUAAGGGGUUAUGUUCUGAGGGAAAAUGAUGUAAUAUAAACCCACUGUGCAAUGUGAGUGUUACACAGUACAUAAAUGGAAGAAACUGGUUUGUUUGUUUUUUUCAUUUAAGUGAACUGAAAUGGUGUAAUUUUUUUAUUUUAAAAAGAGCUGCUGUGUGUCAGUAUUGAAGAUAAAACUGCGUGGUGCCUCUCAGCAUGUGCAGUCUGAUUGCAUGAAGCAACUCUGAUCAGGCCAGAGUGAUGUUUACAAAAUUUGGCUUACCAAAACUUAUGCAGAUUUGAGUAACUGAAGCAGUGUUCAAUAUUGAUACUUGUAGGUAUGAUGGUGGUUGUAUUAAUAAGUUGAAAGGAAGAAUAUAGGAUUGUUGUCUACACACUACUCUCUAGGAACCUAAAGUGCAAUACAGAAUUGAUAGUCACCACCCCGCUUCAGGCAUUUGUCCCAUCACACCACUAGUUUGGAGAUGCCGCUGUUGUAGAAUUCAUCCGGUUGAGCGCGGAACUACAGCCGGACAGCGGUUUUCGCGUCGUCAUCGGAAAUGAACCUCUGACAUGCCAGGAACUUCUUCAGUGGACGAACACGUGGUAAUCACUGGGGGCGAGGUCUGGACUAUACGGUACAUGCCCCAAAAUCUCCCACCCGAAUGACUGCAGUCACGCCCGGGGAUUCUCGUGGACGAUGUGGUUCACCUCCAUGACAACGCCAGGCUUCAUGUGGCAAACAGGACCGCCGCCCGACUGCCCCCAGUCACCGGUGUGGUGACUAUGUGGAAAAGUAGUCAAAGGUACUUAGAACACUGCCUGUAGUUUGAUUUCCCUGUAUGUAUA